rnacentral:rRNA from 1 species
UACGGAGGUGGCAAGCGUUGUUCGGAAUUACUGGGCGUAAAGGGCGCGUAGGCGGCAAGGCAAGUCAGGUGUGAAAGCCCCGAGCUUAACUCGGGAAUUGCAUCUGAAACUGCUGUGCUUGAGUUCUGGAGGGGGUAGUGGAAUUCCCAGUGUAGCGGUGAAAUGCGUAGAGAUGUGGAGGAACACCGAUGGCGAAGGCAGCCUUCUGGGCCAACACUGACGCUCAUGCACGAAAGCGUGGGGAGCAAACAGG